rnacentral:lncRNA from 1 species
UUUAUUGUCUUCUCUUACUGCAUUUCUUAAUACACCUGUUAUUAAAUCAUCGUAGAUUGGUCAAGACAAAUUUUUGAAGUUGGUGAGGAACCAUUUGACACGUUACUUUGCUGUUGAGGUUUUAGUGAGCAAUACAUGGAGCAUCCCCUCUCACGGCUUGUCAACACGAAACUUGGAGUAGAUUUAUUUUUAUCCUGAUGAGAAAAUUUCUGCCUUUCCACUCAGGUAGCAUGGAAAUUUUUGCCUAUCCCCUCAGGUCUUAGCAUGGAAAAAUCCUUGCAUCUUGACGAAGAAGUUUAUAGAGGGUCUCAACCUUUAGGAUUUGGCAUGGCAAAAUAUUCUUGCAACAUGGCAAAGAAGAAUUUGACGUAAAACAACACUGGUUGAUGAUAACCUUUGUCGAGUUUUAGAAGCUGUGUGAUGCAAAAAUUUGUCAAGUUCUGUUGAACAAGUAACAAAUAUGGCUUGAUGAGUGAGAUAAAGGUGCGCAUGUAGUUACAUGGACUUGACAGCUCUGCACCCUUGCAUCAUGAAAGUUAUAUCCCAAGCUAGGAGUAUCCCGAACUGCGAAUACUUAAUCCACAAUAAAGGGAACUCAACAUCUGCGAUAUCUCAAAGCUUCAGAUCAAAAUUCCUUUUGAGUUGAUCAGAGUUAAUUUCUAAAGUUGAUUUUCGAAUCUGACACAUCUAUUUUGCAGCUUUGAGCUACUAUCGUAGAAAAUUCAUAACUCAAUAUAGGAGUCUCUGAAUCACGAGGCUAUUUUUGUGGUUGUGAAGAGGACUUCAAAAACUAUAAUGUAUGUAAAAUUCACGGACAAAACUAUUAUAGUUUUCUAUAGAUAUGUCGUCGAAGUCAGUUCACUUCAAAAUCUGAUGGCAUAUUUUGCAGUGUUGGACGGCUUAGGUAGAAAAUUCAUAACUCGGCGUAGGAGCCUCUGAAUCAUGAGCCAUUUUUUCGUUGCGAAGAGGACUCUAGAAAAUUCAAUACAUCUAAAAAUUGUAAUAAAAACCUUUACGGAUUUGUACAGAUAUGUCUUUGAAGUCAGCUCAAAUUAAUUUCGAAAUCUAAUAGUCUGUAUCACCACUUUGAGAGGCUGGGGUAGAAAUUUCAUAACUUGGUGUAGGAUUCACUGGAUCAUGAGCCAUUUUUUUAGUUGAAAAGAGGACC